rnacentral:tRNA from 1 species
GGGCCGGUAGCUCAGAGGUAGAGCACCUGACUUUUAAUCAGAGGGUCGUGGGUUCGAUCCCCACCCGGCUCA